rnacentral:lncRNA from 12 species
CUGAAAACCAGAUCAGUGCAGUAAUGAAGGAGUGCAGGUCUAAGCGGAUUUCAUGCUGUUGCAGCCUGGACUUUAAAAACUAUUGUUUGAAAUGUCAGGGAAAAAGUAAUACAGCUCUUGACAUUCCAUGAGCUCCAGAGAGCUCUCUCAAUAAUGUGGAGGUCUUGCUUUUGAGACACAGCCAGCAAUUACAGCAAGGUGAAACUGAAGUUCCAAUCACAUGUAAGUUAGGC